UGGAUCACAGAUUUCCCUCUAAAAGUUGACCUUCGCUGCAUGGCUGAUUUACCCUAAUUCCUUUUUCCUUCUUGACAAUACAAGAAUAUGGAAAGACUGAUUUUGAUUGAUGCUCCUUUCCAAAAUAAACUCUCAACUACUAGUAUAAAUAGCAGUCAUUCCUCACCUCUUUCUCACUCACUCAAAUUUACCGAGCUCUCAUCUCUCCUGGUAAAGGAACGGCGCGCGAGACUUAAUUAUUUAAUUGCAAGAUUUACUCAAGAAAGGUUAAGGAGAUGACUCGGGCGAUGAGAGGCGGGGCGAGUGAUGGUCAAGAUAAAGAAGAAAUAAUGUUUUAUUUUCAAUUGGAAUAAAGACUCAGUUUAUGAUGUUUAUUUACUUUUCUCAGUUGGAUUUGGGUUUUAGUUAUUUAAAUAUUGAAAUCUUAUUAUUUUUAAUCAAA